rnacentral:lncRNA from 1 species
CCAAACUCGGCAAAUAGACAAACUGAAGAUCUUUGAAGCUCAGCGAUGUGGGAAAUCAGCACAGCACGUUAAGACGAAUACAAAAGGAUGAGCCACCGGUCAAAAUUUCAAAGGAGGGUCUGUAAAGAGCGCUACAGACCCCAACCUUUGCCAUCACCCAGCAUCUACCUUAUUUUCUUUUGGCUGUUUUCAAGCCUUGCCGCACAAGCAGGUGUUUUUGGUGUAAAAACUUGGACCCGCGCU